UACGAAGGGGGCUAGCGUUGUUCGGAUUUACUGGGCGUAAAGCGCACGUAGGCGGAUUGUUAAGUCAGGGGUGAAAUCCUGGAGCUCAACUCCAGAACUGCCUUUGAUACUGGCAAUCUUGAGUCCGGAAGAGGUGAGUGGAACUCCUAGUGUAGAGGUGGAAUUCGUAGAUAUUGGGAAGAACACCAGUGGCGAAGGCGGCUCACUGGCUCGUUUCUGACGCUCAGGCGCGACAGCGUGGGGAGCAAACAGG
rnacentral:rRNA from 1 species